AACGAACGCUAGCGGCAGGCUUAACACAUGCAAGUCGAGCGCCCCGCAAGGGGAGCGGCAGACGGGUGAGUAACGCGUGGGAAUCUACCCAUCUCUACGGAAUAACGCAUGGAAACGUGUGCUAAUACCGAAUACGUCCUUCGGGAGAAAGAUUAAUCGGAGAUGGAUGAGCCCGCGUCGGAUUAGCUAGUUGGUGGGGUAAAAGCAGACCAACGCGACGAUCCAUAGCUGGUCUGAGAGGAUGAUCAGCCACACUGGGACUGAGACACGGCCCAGACUCCUACGGGAGGCAGCAGUGGGGAAUAUUGGACAAUGGGCGCAAGCCUGAUCCAGCCAUGCCGCGUGAGUGAUGAAGGCCCUAGGGUUGUAAAGCUCUUUCACCGGUGAAGAUAAUGACGGUAACCGGAGAAGAAGCCCCGGCUAACUUCGUGCCAGCCGCCGCAGUAAUAC
rnacentral:rRNA from 1 species